UCUGGCGUCAAUAGCCUGCUGGUACCACCCCUUCCCUUCCCGAACAGGACCGUGAAACAGCAUCGCGCCAAUGAUAGUGAGCUUACCGCUCGCGAAAGUAGGUCAACGCCAGAC
rfam:Dechloromonas aromatica RCB, complete genome.